CCUCUGAUUUCUAUUAGAGUUGACGGUACCAGAGGAAUAAGCACCGGCUAACUCCGUGCCAGCAGCCGCGGUAAUACGGAGGGUGCAAGCGUUAUCCGGAUUUACUGGGUUUAAAGGGUGUGUAGGCGGGUCUUUAAGUCAGUGGUGAAAUCUCCGAGCUCAACUUGGAAACUGCCAUUGAUACUAUUGAUCUUGAAUUUUGUUGAGGUAGGCGGAAUAAGUCAUGUAGCGGUGAAAUGCAUAGAUAUGACUUAGAACACCAAUUGCGAAGGCAGCUUGCUAAACAAACAUUGACGCUGAGGCACGAAAGCGUGGGGAUCAAACAGGAUUAGAUACCCUGGUAGUCCACGCCCUAAACGAUGAUUACUCGACAUACGCGAUACACAGUGUGUGUCUGAGCG
rnacentral:rRNA from 1 species